rnacentral:rRNA from 1 species
GACGUAGGGGGCCAGCGUUGUUCGGAAUUACUGGGUGUAAGGGUUCGUAGGCGGUGCGGCAAGUUGGGAGUGAAAUCUCUGGGCUUAACCCAGAGGCUGCUUCCAAAACUGCUGUGCUUGAGUGUGGGAGAGGCGCGUGGAAUUGCAGGUGUAGCGGUGAAAUGCGUAGAUAUCUGCAGGAACACCCGUGGCGAAAGCGGCGCGCUGGACCACUACUGACGCUGAGGAACGAAAGCUAGGGGAGCAAACAGG